AUUUCCCAGGUCGGAAACCUGAGAGCCCACACUGACCCGAGAGGGUCUCGGAAGGACAAGCGGGCGGCAGUCAGAGCCACUCAGCGCUGAAAGAUCUCAUCAGUCAGGAUCUGAGGAAAGGCGGUGUCCCCAGGAGGGGUGUGUGCGGCCAAGCGCCAUGCGAGGGACAGUCGGGGCGCUGUGGCCAAGGAGACCUGGGGUGAGUCCCUCUCCUCUGGCUCUAGGACCCCCGAAAGUCUUUUCACUCUCUGAACCUCAGUGUCCUUCCUAUGAAACCAGACAAUGAGCGCAUGUGCUUACAGGGUCCCCGCGAGGACCGGGAUCAAUCCUGCACCGCGCCAGACACAGGGAGACUUCUUGCUCUCCAGGGCGCCACAGUGAUAUCUGCAUGUGAUACUCAGUACCAAGAGCCUGCCACUUCCCGGCCACAGCCCUGGGAGCUGCAGAGUCCCCCGUUUGAUGAUUUGCUCUCACUGCCCAGAGGAGAAGGCUGAGUGAGCCCCGCUGCUGAAGGGGCUCUCAGCUCCCACCUGCCAAGCUGCCCAGUUGAGGGUCCAGGUGGAGGGGGAGCCCCACCCGAGGGAAAUCCCACCACCAGGGCAGAGUCCAUGGUCCAGGGAAGGCAGAGUCCAUGGCCCUGGACAGGACGGCUCUGGCAGGGAGGGCACCUCCGCCUGGAUUUCAGCCCAUAUCCAGUGUCUCCAGAAGCCACCGUCCUAAUCCGGAGGCCCCAAGGAAGCAGCGAUUUCCUGGGAGAAAACAGGUUCCCACAGGUUUUACCUUCCUCCUGUCAGACUUCCAGGUACCGAGGGACUGUCCCCACCCACACAUACACAAGGGAGGCCAGGGCUGCACAGACUCAGAGGGGAGGGGCCGCAAGACACCUCUGCCCCCACACUCUUGUUUGUAGCCCACAUAGGGCAGGGACUUCAGCAGGUCCCUGAGAGGAGGGUGGCAGAAGCACAGCCAAGGUGCAGGCCUCCCAGCUCCCAGGCCGGGCUAAGCACCCAAUCCAGUUUCUCCCAGACAGGACAGUUCUCCAAGCCCCACUCCUGAGCCACCCCUGGGCCCCUUCUAAAGACCACCACCAUGGAACAAUGAAAAGAAAGAGCCUGAGUCUCCAGCUCAGUGAGACUAAUUCCUGUGUGAUUUGGGUGAGAUCCUCCCGUCUCUGGGCCUCAGUUUCCACACUGAUAAAAACGAGGCAUUUGGAUUCCUUUUUUUUUUUGGUUAGUACCAGAGAUUGAACUCAGGGACACUCAACCACUGAGCCACAUCCCCAGUCCUAUCCUGUAUUUUAUUAGAGUCAGGGUCUUGCUGAGCUGCUUAACACUUCGCUUUUGCUGAGGCUGUCUUUGAAUUCUCCAUCCUCCUGCCUCAGCCUCCUCAGCAGCUGGGAUUACAGGCGUGCACCACCGCGCCUGGCUGGAUUCCAUUUUUAAGAACUCUUCUGGCUCCAUUGUUCUGGGAGCCCAAGGUGCCCUUAUCCUACCCCCAAGUUUCUCCGAUCUCUCCAGAAUCUGAGAAUCCAGACAGAAGAAAGAUUUGGACGAGGCUUAGAUGGGCAUGAGGGUAGGGACUCUGACCAUUUCCACCCUCUGCUAAGCCAAGAAGCCAGGCCUGCAGGCCAGGUGGCGAUCACAGGAAAAAGCCAUCCCCUACACAGGAAGGGAGGAGUUGCCCCUGGGGGAGGAACAGAUUCAGAAUCCAGAACUCAGAACCCAGUUAGGGCUUCAACUCCCCUCCUUCUUCCCAACCUACCUGACUCCACUCCCAGAAGUCGGUGGCACUGAUUCAACCUGGCCAGGGAGCUGAUUGUCCAGUGGAGACUCAGAGCUUGGCGUAGAGGGCAGGGAAGAGACAGGGUAGAAGAAAUGUCCUCAGCUUGGUCUCCUGAGUCUACAGCCAGGGGACUUCUGGUGAUG
rnacentral:lncRNA from 1 species